AGCGAACGCUGGCGGCAGGCCUAACACAUGCAAGUCGAACGAACUCUUCGGAGUUAGUGGCGGACGGGUGAGUAACACGUGGGAACGUGCCUUUAGGUUCGGAAUAACUCAGGGAAACUUGAGCUAAUACCGGAUGUGCCCUUCGGGGGAAAGAUUUAUCGCCUUUAGAGCGGCCCGCGUCUGAUUAGCUAGUUGGUGAGGUAAAGGCUCACCAAGGCGACGAUCAGUAGCUGGUCUGAGAGGAUGAUCAGCCACAUUGGGACUGAUACACGGCCCAAACUCCUACGGGAGGCAGCAGUGGGGAAUCUUGCGCAAUGGGCGAAAGCCUGACGCAGCCAUGCCGCGUGAAUGAUGAAGGUCUUAGGAUUGUAAAAUUCUUUCACCGGGGACGAUAAUGACGGUACCCGGAGAAGAAGCCCCGGCUAACUUCGUG
rnacentral:rRNA from 1 species